CCGAUAAUCACGGAAUGAUUAUCUCCCAAAUCGGUUGAAGAUAUCGAUCCAUUUGGAGAACGCAACUACAACAUGGAGACGGCCAUCAAAAAGGUUUCAUUAAUGCAAGAAAUCGAGAAUGCCGCGUCAAGUCCGGUGUUGAUAGAUGUUUGAAGAUGAAGAAAAUAGUGACGUCAAGCCCUCAAGAAGACGCAUUGAUAUAACAACAUAUGUUCAAAGAAGACAGAAGAGGACUGAUAAGGAAGUACGAUGUCUUUCUAGUAUUGGCACUCGUGUUGGUGGCUUCUGCUAUUGCAACUUCUCUUGACCAAAGGUUGGAAAGUAAUAUAUCGGUUCAAUAGAAAUUUGAACAUCGUCACAAGUACUGAUAGCAGUGAUGGAGGUGCCAUUGUCAACACAAAUGAGGUUUAUCCGUCCUUAUAUCUGAUGAGUGAUUUCUGUAUUUGCGCUAUUAGAGGAUUUCGUGAAUGGAGAGAAACAGAUAUUAUUUAGCUUGGCUGGCUAAAAACUGAGAUCGAGUAAGAGCUUGUUUUCCUUGAGUUAUAUUUCGACCCAAAUCUGUCAAGGAAUUCAAUUUUCUAGUCA